rnacentral:lncRNA from 1 species
UCAAAGACCCUGUCAGGCAUGCCCAUGCACCGAGAGGACCUUGCGACUAGCCUUUGCCUCGCUGGUUCGAUGAAUGCCACGAGGGACUUCCCUCACGAGCUUUUGGACUAAGAUCAAGCCCCAAUUUGGCGAGAUGGUUUAUAAAGGACUUAAUGGGCCUGUAAAUUGGCUGAUGGGCCUCUAUUGGGCCCAAAUAUGAUAUUGGGCCUAACUGCGCCUAGGAAUGUAAAUUGGACCCCUUAGGAUCUUGUAAGGAUUUAUUGGGCCUAAUGGGCCAAGAGAGUGUCGAUGGGUCCAAUAGGCCAGGAACUGGAAAAGUGAGCCUUAUGGGCCAAAAUUCAACUGAAAGAUUUAAC